rnacentral:misc_RNA from 1 species
GCCAGUUUAUGAACUAGGAACAGAUUCUUUGAAUUUUUUGUGGGGCGUUCGGGUGGAUGUGGUGCUGGUUACUAGGGGGCUGCCCUGUGCUUUCCAAUUCUUUAAGCAUCACUGGUUAAUUUCCUGCAGAUUGGAAGGACUCGAGUUCAUUUGGGAAGAUCAGGUGUAGCUCUCCAGAAUAGCCAGGUCUCUAAACCUGAAUGCUUCCGCACUGUAAGCAUGUUGUUUGCCUUGUUAGACUUGUUGCCUCAUUCUAGAUUUUUGUUCCAUUUGUUCAUAUGUGAAUUGUUUUAUGUGUGAUUUCCUUAAUAUCUAUGAUAUGACGAAGCAUAUUUUUU